rnacentral:rRNA from 1 species
UACCAGCACCCCGAGUGGUCGGGACGAUUAUUGGGCCUAAAGCAUCCGUAGCCGGUUUUACAAGUCCUCCGUUAAAUCCAGCUGCUUAACAGAUGGGCUGCGGAGGAUACUAUAAGACUAGGAGGCAGGAGAGGCAAGCGGUACUCAGUGGGUAGGGGUAAAAUCCGUUGAUCCAUUGAAGACCACCAGUGGCGAAGGCGGCUUGCCAGAAUGCGCUCGACGGUGAGGGAUGAAGCCCUGGGGCGCAAACCGG